GACGUAGGGCGCGAGCGUUGUCCGGAUUUAUUGGGCGUAAAGAGCUCGUAGGCGGCUUGUCGCGUCGUUCGUGAAAACCCACGGCUUAACUGUGGGCUUGCGGUCGAUACGGGCAGGCUAGAGUUCGGUAGGGGAGACUGGAAUUCCUGGUGUAGCGGUGGAAUGCGCAGAUAUCAGGAGGAACACCAAUAGCGAAGGCAGCUCGCUGGGACGGUACUGACGCUGAGGCGCGAAAGCGUGGGGAGCAAACAGG
rnacentral:rRNA from 1 species